UAGGGAAUCUUCCACAAUGGGCGAAAGCCUGAUGGAGCAACGCCGCGUGUGUGAUGAAGGGUUUCGGCUCGUAAAACACUGUUGUAAGAGAAGAAUGACAUUGAGAGUAACUGUUCAAUGUGUGACGGUAUCUUACCAGAAAGGAACGGCUAAAUACGUGCCC
rnacentral:rRNA from 1 species